rnacentral:rRNA from 1 species
AUUGAACGCUGGCGGCAUGCCUUACACAUGCAAGUCGAACGGCAGCACGGGGCAACCUGGUGGCGAGUGGCGAACGGGUGAGUAAUGCAUCGGAACGUGCCAUUGAGUGGGGGAUAACGUAGCGAAAGUUGCGCUAGUACCGCAUAUUCUGUGAGCAGGAAAGCAGGGGACCGCAAGGCCUUGCGCUCUUUGAGCGGCCGAUGUCAGAUUAGCUAGUUGGUGAGGUAACGGGCUUACCAAGGCGACGAUCUGUAGCGGGUCUGAGAGGAUGAUCCGCCACACUGGAACUGAGACACGGUCCAGACUCCUACGGGAGGCAGCAGUGGGGAAUUUUGGACAAUGGGCGCAAGCCUGAUCCAGCCAUGCCGCGUGAGUGAAGAAGGCC